CCUACGGGUGGCAGCAGUAGGGAAUAUUGCUCAAUGGGGGAAACCCUGAAGCAGCAACGCCGCGUGGGGGAUGAAGGUUUUCGGUUUCUAAACUCCUUUUGUUAAAGAAGAUAAUAACGGUAUCUAACGAAUAAGCACCGGCUAACUCCGUGCCGGCAGCCGCGGUAAUACGGAGGGUGCAAGCGUUACUCGGAGUGACUGGGCGUAAAGCGCGCGUAGGCGGGAUAGCAAGUCAGAUGUGAAAUCCUAGGGCUUAACCAUAGAACUGCAUUUGAAACUGUUAUUCUAGAGUAUGGGAGAGGUAGGUGGAAUGCGUGGUGUAGGGGUAAAAUGCGUAGAGAUCAAGAGGAAUACUGAUUGCGAAGGCGACCUGCUAGAACAUAACUGACGCUGAGGCGCGAAAGCGUGGGGAGCAAACAGGAUUAGAUACCCUAGUAGUC
rnacentral:rRNA from 1 species